rnacentral:lncRNA from 1 species
UCCGGAGCUAUUUCUACUGUCAAGAUUUGCUCCGAUGGGAUAUGGGUAUAAAUGUCCCUCCGACCUGAGACCGCCACGGUGACUUGCAAGCAACUCACUGCACUUAGGCACUGGACUAUCUGAAUUUUUAAUUCAGUGAGGAAGGCUGCUGGGUGUAGUCAAGUACUUGACUUGUCGGUGCAUGUGUCAAGAUGGGAUUGACCACUCCAGUUUAGGAGCUAUGUAUAGUUGUGUUUCAAUUUAGCAAAACCUUGGCCAGGGUAGUCCUUGUGAGGAGUCACAGGACUGUUUGACUUGAGCAUGAUUCGGAUGAUCUGAUAGGGUUGACAGUUUAACCCUGAGUCGUCCUAGACACAGGGGUCAAAAGGAUGAAUUAUACAGUAACCAUAUUCAUGUAGGUUCUGAGUGUUAAGAUUGCGACUAUUCGACCUAUCCGGAUGUUGGGUACCAUUGCUAGAUAGUCAGUUCGAUUAGUGCAGAAAUUAGUUCCUGUGCUAUCGGCUUAGGUUCGAACCUGUGGGGUCACACACAUUAGAGGUUCCUAUCUAAUCUGAUGGCUGAUGUAGAAUCCUACAUGUUUGGGACUCAGUGAUCGAGAAUCAGGAUUCUCUGAUCAUGAGUUCCAUACAUUAUGGGUACCGGGGUCAAGAGUCCCACUGGUUGGGACUUUUCUAUCAGGGUUACAUAUCGAUGAAUUCUGAUGCCCAAUUGCCCAUCGAAUUUGGACUCAGUAUUUAUGAGAGGUUUAAUUAGUGAUUUGAUCAUUAAUUAACUCAAUUUGAUUGAGUAAUUAUUUUUGGAUCAAGUCCAAUUGAAUUGGAUUCAGUUGGGUUUGACCCGAUUAGGUUAAGAGUUGACCUAAUCGUCGAGAUGGUUUGGUCCCUGAUUUGAUUAGGGGUUGGGCUUAGUCAAUUUCUGAUUUGAUUAGGAUUUUAUUGAGCCUAAUUAAGCCUAAUUUAGUUGAAUUUAAAUUAGUCUAAUUAGAUCUAAAUUAUUUGGUUCAAUUAGGUUGGUUUAAAUAAUUAAACCACCUUGACCCAAUCUCCAAGCACCACCUCACUUCCAUUGCAUCCAUUUGAAUUCAUGAGAAGAAACUUCUCAUGAAUUAUUUCCUCACACCAAGCCCUCUCCAUGCCCCACUUUAAUGUGCCAUAUGAAUGGAUAAGGAUGAUUGGUUGGCCAUUCAAAUUCAAAAUAAAGUUUGAAUUUGAAUGGGCAAUCAAUCUUUGCACCUUAUCCCUUUUUUUACGUCCCAUUUAUUACAUGAGAAAAGGUUUCUCAUGAAAUCACUCC